rnacentral:rRNA from 1 species
AGUGAACGCUGGCGGUAGGCCUAACACAUGCAAGUCGAACGGCAGCACAGAGGAGCUUGCUCCUUGGGUGGCGAGUGGCGGACGGGUGAGGAAUACAUCGGAAUCUACUCUGUCGUGGGGGGUAACGUAGGGAAACUUACGCUAAUACCGCAUACGACCUACGGGUGAAAGCAGGGGAUCUUCGGACCUUGCGCGAUUGAAUGAGCCGAUGUCGGAUUAGCUAGUUGGCGGGGUAAAGGCCCACCAAGGCGACGAUCCGUAGCUGGUCUGAGAGGAUGAGCAGCCACACUGGAACUGAGACACGGUCCAGACUCCGACGGGAGGCAGCAGUGGGGAAUAUUGGACAAUGGGCGCAAGCCUGAUCCAGCCAUACCGCGUGGGUGAAGAAGGCCUUCGGGUUGUAGAGCCCUUUUGUUGGGAAAGAAAUCCAUCUGGUUAAUACCCGGGUGGGGUGACGGUACCCAAAGAAUAAGCACCGGCUAACUUCGUGCCAGCCGCCGCCGUAA